GCCCUAAACGAUGAAUACUAGAUGUUUGGUACCAAGCGUACUGAGUGUCGUAGCUAACGCGAUAAGUAUUCCGCCUGGGAAGUACGGCCGCAAGGUUAAACUCAAAGGAAUUGACGGGGGCCCGCACAAGCGGUGGAGCAUGUGGUUUAAUUCGAUGCAACGCGAAGAACCUUACCUGGGCUUGACAUGUCUGGAGUCCUGCAGAGAUGCGGGAGUGCCCUUCGGGGAAUCAGAACACAGGUGCUGCAUGGCUGUCGUCAGCUCGUGUCGUGAGAUGUUGGGUUAGGUCCCGCAACGAGCGCAACCCUUGUCCUUAGUUGCCAGCGGUUCGGCCGGGCACUCUAGGGAGACUGCCGGUGACAAACCGGAGGAAGGUGGGGAUGACGUCAAGUCCUCAUGGCCUUUAUGUCCAGGGCUACACACGUGCUACAAUGGCGCGUACAGAGGGAAGCCAAGCCGCGAGGUGGAGCAGACCCCAGAAAGCGCGUCGUAGUUCGGAUUGCAGUCUGCAACUCGACUGCAUGAAGUCGGAAUCGCUAGUAAUCGCUGGAUCAGCAUGCCGCG
rnacentral:rRNA from 1 species